rnacentral:rRNA from 1 species
AGUGAACGCUGGCGGUAGGCCUAACACAUGCAAGUCGAACGGCAGCACAGUAAGAGCUUGCUCUUACGGGUGGCGAGUGGCGGACGGGUGAGGAAUACAUCGGAAUCUACUUUUUCGUGGGGGAUCACGUAGGGAAACUUACGCUAAUACCGCAUACGCCCUACGGUUGAAAGCAUGGGAUCUUCGGACCUUUCGCGAUUGAAUGAGCCGAUGUCGGAUUAGCUAGUUGGCGGGGUAAAGACCCACCAAGGCGACGAUCCGUAGCUGGUCUGAGAGGAUGAUCAGCCACACUGGAACUGAGACACGGUCCAGACUCCUACGGGAGGCAGCAGUGGGGAAUAUUGGACAAUGGGCGCAAGCCUGAUCCAGCCAGACCGCGUGGGUGAAGAAGGCCUUCGGGUUGUAAAGCCCUUUUGUUGGGAAAGAAAAGCAGCAGGUUAAUACCCAGCUGUUCUGACGGUACCCAAAGAAUAAGCACCGGCUAACUUCGUG